rnacentral:rRNA from 1 species
GACGAACGCUGGCGGCGUGCUUAACACAUGCAAGUCGAACGGAAAGGCCCUGCUUUUGUGGGGUGCUCGAGUGGCGAACGGGUGAGUAACACGUGAGUAACCUGCCCCUGGACUUGGGGAAAACUUAAGGAAACGGGGGCUAAUACCGGAUAGGAGCUCCGCCGGCAGGGGGGGGGUGGAAAGGUUUCGGCGGUUGGGGAUGGACUCGCGGCUUAUCAGCUUGUUGGUGGGGUAGUGGCUUACCAAGGCUUUGACGGGUAGCCGGCCUGAGAGGGUGACCGGCCACAUUGGGACUGAGAUACGGCCCAGACUCCUACGGGAGGCAGCAGUGGGGAAUAUUGCACAAUGGGCGGAAGCCUGAUGCAGCAACGCCGCGUGCGGGAUGACGGCCUUCGGGUUGUAAACCGCUUUCGCCUGUGACGAAGCGUGAGUGACGGUAAUGGGUAAAGAAGCACCGGCUAACUACGUG